rnacentral:rRNA from 1 species
CCCAGUAAACGGCGGCCGUAACUAUAACGGUCCUAAGGUAGCGAAAUUCCUUGUCGGGUAAGUUCCGACCCGCACGAAAGGCGUAACGAUUUGGGCACUGUCUCAACGAGAGACUCGGUGAAAUCAUAGUACCUGUGAAGAUGCAGGUUACCCGCGACAGGACGGAAAGACCCCGUGGAGCUUUACUGUAGCCUGAUAUUGAAAUUCGGCACAGCUUGUACAGGAUAGGUAGGAGCCUUUGAAACGUGAGCGCUAGCUUACGUGGAGGCGCUGGUGGGAUACUACCCUAGCUGUGUUGGCUUUCUAACCCGCACCACUUAUCGUGGUGGGAGACAGUGUCAGGCGGGCAGUUUGACUGGGGCGGUCGCCUCCUAAAAGGUAACGGAGGCGCUCAAAGGUUCCCUCAGAAUGGUUGGAAAUCAUUCAUAGAGUGUAAAGGCAUAAGGGAGCUUGACUGCGAGACCUACAAGUCGAGCAGGGUCGAAAGACGGACUUAGUGAUCCGGUGGUUCCGCAUGGAAGGGCCAUCGCUCAACGGAUAAAAGCUACCCCGGGGAUAACAGGCUUAUCUCCCCCAAGAGUUCACAUCGACGGGGAGGUUUGGCACCUCGAUGUCGGCUCAUCGCAUCCUGGGGCUGUAGUCGGUCCCAAGGGUUGGGCUGUUCGCCCAUUAAAGCGGUACGCGAGCUGGGUUCAGAACGUCGUGAGACAGUUCGGUCCCUAUCCGUCGUGGGCGUAGGAAAUUUGAGAGGAGCUGUCCUUAGUACGAGAGGACCGGGAUGGACAUACCUCUGGUGUACCAGUUGUCGUGCCAACGGCAUAGCUGGGUAGCUAUGUGUGGACGGGAUAAGUGCUGAAAGCAUCUAAGCAUGAAGCCCCCCUCAAGAUGAGAUUUCCCAACUUCGGUUAUAAGAUCCCUCAAAGAUGA